AGGGUAUGAUACUGGCUCAGAACGAACGCUGGCGGCGUGUCUAAGACAUGCAAGUCGAACGAGAACGUCGGCUUCGGCCGACUAGUAAAGUGGCGAACUGGUGAGUAAUACGUAGGUAACCUGCCCACAAGAGAGGAAUAACGGCUCGAAAGGGCCGCUAAUGCCACAUGACGCUGGUUGUCGCAUGACAAUCAGCCAAAGAUGGGGAAUCUUCGGAUCCUGUCGCUUGUGGAGGGGCUUACGGCCUAUCAGCUAGUUGGUGAGGUAACGGCUCACCAAGGCAAUGACGGGUAGGGGGCCUGAGAGGGCGAUCCCCCACACUGGGACUGAGAUACAGCCCAGACUCCUACGGGAGGCAGCAGUGAAGAAUCAUUCACAAUGGGCGCAAGCCCGAUGAUGCAACGCCGCGUGGAGGACUAAGGCCUUCGGGUUGUAAACUCCUGUCACGCUGUAAGAACUGCCGUGGGGUGAAUAGCCUCGCGGCGUGACGUCAAGGCGAGAGGAAGCCACGGCUAACUUCGUGCCAGCAGCCGCGGUAAGACGAAGGUGGCGAGCGUUGUUCGGAAUCACUGGGCGUAAAGAGUUCGUAGGCGGCAUGGUCAGUCAGGUGUGAAAUCCUCCGGCUCAACUGGAGAAUGGCGCCUGAUACUGCCACGCUUGAGGGCAGGAGGGGAGAGUGGAAUUCCUGGUGUAGCGGUGAAAUGCGUAGAUAUCAGGAGGAACGCCGGUGGCGAAAGCGACUCUCUGGCCUGCAUCUGACGCUGAGGAACGAAAGCUAGGGGAGCAAACGGGAUUAGAUACCCCGGUAGUCCUAGCCGUAAACGAUGAGCACUACGUUGGGGGGGGUCCGAACUUCUCCCAGCCGAAACUAACGCAUUAAGUGCUCCGCCUGGGGAGUACGGUCGCAAGGCUGAAACUCAAAGUAAUUGACGGGGACUCGCACAAGCGGUGGAGCAUGCGCUUUAAUUCGAUCCGACGCGAAGAACCUUAUCCCGGGCUUGACAUGCUUGGAUUAACCCGGUGAAAGCCGGGCCACGCCCGAAAGGGUGGAACUUGCACAGGUGCUGCAUGGCCGUCGUCAGCUCGUGUCGUGAGAUGUUGGGUUAAGUCCCUUAACGAGCGAAACCCUUGUCCUUAGUUGCCAGCGCGUUAUGGCGGGGACUCUAAGGAGACUGCCGGUGUUAAACCGGAGGAAGGUGGGGAUGACGUCAGGUCCUCAUGGCCUUUAUGCCCGGGGCUAGACGCGUGCUACAAUGGCCGGUACAGAAGGAAGCAAGACCGCGAGGUGGAGCCAAUCCCCAAAGCCGGCCUCAGUUGGGAUCGGGGGCUGAAACCCGCCCCCGUGAACCUGGAAUCGCUAGUAAUCGUGGAUCAGCACGCCACGGUGAAUGUGUUCCCGAGUCUUGUACACACCGCCCGUCAAGCCACCUGAGUUGAGGGCACCCGAAGUCGCGUACCCAACCCAAUUCUAUUGGGAGGGAAGUGCCGAAGGUGAACUCAGCGAGGGGGACUAAGUCGUAACAAGGUA
rnacentral:rRNA from 1 species